AGAGUUUGAUCCUGGCUCAGGAUGAACGCUGGCGGCGUGCUUAACACAUGCAAGUCGAACGCACCUUCGGGUGAGUGGCGGACGGGUGAGUAACGCGUGGGAAUCUGCCCUUAGGAGGGGGAUAACGGCUGGAAACGGCCGCUAAUACCCCAUAUGCCGAGAGGUGAAACGAAUUUCGCCUGAGGAUGAGCCCGCGUCUGAUUAGCUAGUUGGUGGGGUAAGAGCCCACCAAGGCGACGAUCAGUAGCUGGUCUGAGAGGAUGAUCAGCCACACUGGGACUGAGACACGGCCCAGACUCCUACGGGAGGCAGCAGUGGGGAAUUUUCCGCAAUGGGCGAAAGCCUGACGGAGCAACGCUGCGUGAGGGAUGAAGGCCUCUGGGCUGUAAACCUCUUUUCUCAAGGAAGAAGACAUGACGGUACUUGAGGAAUAAGCCACGGCUAAUUCCGUGCCAGCAGCCGCGGUAAUACGGGAGUGGCAAGCGUUAUCCGGAAUUAUUGGGCGUAAAGCGUCCGCAGGCGGCUCUGUAAGUCUGUUGUUAAAGCGUGGAGCUCAACUCCAUUUCAGCAAUGGAAACUACAGGGCUUGAGUGUGGUAGGGGCAGAGGGAAUUCCCGGUGUAGCGGUGAAAUGCGUAGAUAUCGGGAAGAACACCAGUGGCGAAGGCGCUCUGCUGGGCCAUAACUGACGCUCAUGGACGAAAGCCAGGGGAGCGAAAGGGAUUAGAUACCCCUGUAGUCCUGGCCGUAAACGAUGAACACUAGGUGUCGGGGGAAUCGACCCCCUCGGUGUCGUAGCCAACGCGUUAAGUGUUCCGCCUGGGGAGUACGCACGCAAGUGUGAAACUCAAAGGAAUUGACGGGGGCCCGCACAAGCGGUGGAGUAUGUGGUUUAAUUCGAUGCAACGCGAAGAACCUUACCAGGGUUUGACAUCCUGCGAAUCCCUUGGAAACUUGGGAGUGCCUUCGGGAGCGCAGAGACAGGUGGUGCAUGGCUGUCGUCAGCUCGUGUCGUGAGAUGUUGGGUUAAGUCCCGCAACGAGCGCAACCCACGUCUUUAGUUGCCAGCAUUCAGUUGGGCACUCUAGAGAGACCGCCGGUGAUAAACCGGAGGAAGGUGUGGAUGACGUCAAGUCAUCAUGCCCCUUACAUCCUGGGCUACACACGUACUACAAUGCUACGGACAGAGGGCAGCAAGCUCGCGAGAGUUAGCAAAUCCCAUAAACCGUGGCUCAGUUCAGAUCGUAGGCUGCAACUCGCCUACGUGAAGGAGGAAUCGCUAGUAAUCGCAGGUCAGCAUACUGCGGUGAAUACGUUCCCGGGCCUUGUACACACCGCCCGUCACACCAUGGAAGUUGGCCAUGCCCGAAGUCGUUACUCCAACCCUUGUGGAGGAGGACGCCGAAGGUGGGGCUGAUGACU
rnacentral:rRNA from 1 species